rnacentral:rRNA from 1 species
GGUUCUCUCCGAAAUAGCUUUAGGGCUAGCCUCAAGUGAUGAUUAUUGGAGGUAGAGCACUGUUUGGACGAGGGGCCCCUCUCGGGUUACCGAAUUCAGACAAACUCCGAAGGCCAAUCAAUUUAACGUGGGAGUCAGAACAUGGGUGAUAAGGUCCGUGUUCGAAAGGGAAACAGCCCAGACCACCAGCUAAGGUCCCAAAAUAUAUGUUAAGUGGAAAAGGAUGUGGCGUU